AUAAACGGAAUUUACAGGGCAAGCGAUCUCAGAGGAUACAGACGAAGCAGAGUCAACUCUUUCACGAGUGGCUCCAUUAAAGUAGACAUGACUCUUAUCUUUGAGAAUUCUUCUAUAGUCCCAAGCUCAUUUGAAGUAGAAGCUAUUCUUAACAUGACCGCUCUGAAUGGUACCAUACCUCUGGACAUCAUACUUGAAACUAUCAAAGCAGGGGAAAUAGUAACUUCUACACCAGUGCCUGUCACAAAUGUUGAAUCUACCACCACGAAAUACACAUCGAGUACAAAUGAGUACACAAACACCACGUCUAGUGGCUUUCCAUGGAUGGUUCGCUGUUCACUUCUGACUAUAUAUCCAGCCAUAAUUGUUUUAUUAGCACAAACAUUGUUGUAAUUUUAAAGUGCACUGGUAAAGUUCACUAAAGAAACAAAAUGAAAGGCAAUAUGUUUAAUAUAAUAUUUAAGCUGAUUGUAUUGGUGAGUAAUGGACAAAUGUUGUAGAAGUUUAUUUUAUGCAGAGACUGUAGUUUAUGGAGAGACUAAAGACUAUAGUUUUUUAGGACCAUCAGCCUAUAAAAUAAAAUGAAUCUGAGAAGGACUAGUCAUCAGGGAUUUGUGCAAUUUAACUGUUUCGAGUCAGAUUAAAAAAAAAAAUAAUAUAUGCAUAAAUGCUGGUUUGGAACUCAAGUGUACAAAAUGCUUAAUUUCAUUUGAUUACCUAUAUUCCUAUAUUAUUGUAUCUGAUCUGUCUAUUAUUUGUAAUUAAAGUUAAUGUAUUCUGUUGUAUUCUCUGCUUUCUACUUACAGUAUAACCAUGGUAACAGUAGUUAAUUUUUUUUUUUUUUUUUUUUUGUCGUCUGAAUCAAUAUUCUCGUUUACUAGAAAUAUCUUGUCUGAGCAGAUGGAGUGUGUUCCUUUUCCCAUUUACUUUUACUGGACCCAAGCUCAUUGUACUUCACAUUACACAGUUAAGAGAUUAAAAACAAAUUUGUAGCAGAUAAAUGAUUAAAGUUUGGAAUAGUCACUGUUGUACACUGGUAAAGUUCACUAAAUAAAAAAAAUUAAAGACAAUAUGUUUAACAUCAUAUUUAAGCUGGUGAAGAAUGGACAAAUGUUGUAGAAGUUUAUUUUAUAAAGAGACUGUUUAUGCAGAGAAUAUAUUUUAUGGCUAUAGAGACUAUAGUUUUUUCUUUAGGACCAUCAUCCUAUUAAAUAUAAUUAAUCUGAGAAGGACUAAUCAUCGGGGAUUUGUGCAAUUUAAUUGUCUAUGUCAGAUUUAAUAUAUAUAUUAUGUUGGUUUGGAACUCAAGUGUACAAAAAUGCUUCCAUUUGUUUAUUAACAUUAUUUGGUUACCUAUAUUGCUAUAUUACUGCAUCUAAACUGUGUAUUCUCUGUUA